AUUGCUACGACUUUACUAAAUAUAGCUCAUUAUUUUUUUUCUUUAAAAGGUGCCAAUUUACAUACCCACUAGCAGUAAGAGUCACCACUGCUCUAAACCCUCACAAUCAGUUCCAGAUUAAAAAUUUUUUUUGUCAGUCUUGUGGGUGGGGAACACUAUCUCAUCAUUUUAACUUUCAAUUGAUUACCAAAGCAAUUAAGCAGUAAGAAAAGCAUUUGGGGCAUUUAGAUUUCCUCUUGUGAAUUGCUUAUGUAUAUCUUUUGGCUCCCCCAUCCCUUUUUUCUACUGAAAUCUAUCCCUAUCUUACUGAACUGUGGGAAUUUUUCAUUCUGGAAUAACAAUUCUCAAAGUAUGGCCCAAGGACCAGGGGAGACUGACAUUCCUUCGGUGUACGAGGUGUGUGUGAGGACCUCCCCUUUUAACUAUACAUCUGGCACAUGAGGCUUUAAAUUCCCUUCAAGUACUCCUGUGCUGCACCCGCAUUGAGAUGUUGAUUUUCUAGUUCUUGGAUAAUCACCGCUCUGGAACGGACCUGUAUUCCACCGAAGCCUAGGUCCUCCCCAUUCACACAGGUCAGCUGACACAGGCU